GACCCAGAUGGGAUCUCUGGGACACCCUGCCUGCUCUACAAUUGGGAUCCCUGGAGAAGUGACAGAAUCUGGCAACAGGGGCCUGCUCUGUCGCCCAGGCUGGAGUGCAGUGGCACAAACACAGCUGACUGCAGCCUUGACCUCCCAGGCUCAUGCAACCCUCCCAUCUUGGCCUCCCAAGAAACUGGGACCACAGGCACGUGCCAUCACACCUGGCCAAUUUUUCAAUUUUUUUGUAGAGAUGGGGUCCCCUGUGUUGCUCAGGCUGGUCUCAAACUCCUGGGCUCAAGUGAUCCUCCUGUCUUGGUUUCCCAAAGUGCUGGGAUUACAGGUAUGAGCUACUGCGCCCGGCCCAAUAAAAAAAUAUUGUUCUGUGAAAGAAAUGUUU
rnacentral:antisense_RNA from 1 species